AUUGAACGCUGGCGGCAUGCUUUACACAUGCAAGUCGAACGGUAACAGGCCGCAAGGUGCUGACGAGUGGCGAACGGGUGAGUAAUGCAUCGGAACGUGCCCAGUCGUGGGGGAUAACGCAGCGAAAGCUGCGCUAAUACCGCAUACGAUCUAUGGAUGAAAGCGGGGGACCGAAAGGCCUCGCGCGAUUGGAGCGGCCGAUGUCAGAUUAGGUAGUUGGUGGGGUAAAGGCCCACCAAGCCAACGAUCUGUAGCUGGUCUGAGAGGACGACCAGCCACACUGGGACUGAGACACGGCCCAGACUCCUACGGGAGGCAGCAGUGGGGAAUUUUGGACAAUGGGGGCAACCCUGAUCCAGCCAUGCCGCGUGCGGGAAGAAGGCCUUCGGGUUGUAAACCGCUUUUAGCCGGGAAGAAAAGGCCACGGACAAUACCCGUGGUUCUUGACGGUACCGGCGGAAUAAGCACCGGCUAACUACGUGCCAGCCGCCGCGGUAAAAC
rnacentral:rRNA from 1 species